rnacentral:snoRNA from 1 species
AUUUGAUGAAGUGGGUAUUAUAUUUGUAACUCCCCAAAUCUUUCCCAAGCUUCGAAGAAUUCCUCCGUAUGCUUUUGUCUAAAAGUUUGGAUCUUGUUUCUUAACU